GAUGAACGCUGGCGGCGUGCCUAAUACAUGCAAGUCGAGCGAACAGACGAGGAGCUUGCUCCUCUGACGUUAGCGGCGGACGGGUGAGUAACACGUGGAUAACCUACCUAUAAGACUGGGAUAACUUCGGGAAACCGGAGCUAAUACCGGAUAAUAUAUUGAACCGCAUGGUUCAAUAGUGAAAGACGGUUUUGCUGUCACUUAUAGAUGGAUCCGCGCCGCAUUAGCUAGUUGGUAAGGUAACGGCUUACCAAGGCAACGAUGCGUAGCCGACCUGAGAGGGUGAUCGGCCACACUGGAACUGAGACACGGUCCAGACUCCUACGGGAGGCAGCAGUAGGGAAUCUUCCGCAAUGGGCGAAAGCCUGACGGAGCAACGCCGCGUGAGUGAUGAAGGUCUUCGGAUUGUAAAACUCUGUUAUUAGGGAAGAACAAAUGUGUAAGUAACUAUGCACGUCUUGACGGUACCUAAUCAGAAAGCCACGGCUAACUAC
rnacentral:rRNA from 1 species